GCCGGCAUGGUGUAGUGGUUUGAGUGUUGGACUACGACUCUGAGACCAGGGUUCGAUUCCCAAGAUUGGCU
rnacentral:tRNA from 1 species